rnacentral:rRNA from 1 species
AGUGAACGCUGGCGGUAGGCCUAACAAAUGCAAGUCGAACGGCAGCACAGUAAGAGCUUGCUCUUACGGAUGGCGAGUGGCGGACGGGUGAGGAAUACAUCGGACUCUACUUUUUCGUGGGGGAUAACGUAGGGAAACUUACUCUAAUACCGCCUACGACCUACGGGUGAAAGCAGGGGAUCUUCGGACCUUGCGCGAUUGAAUGAGCCGAUGUCGGAUUAGCUAGUUGGCGGGGUAAAGGCCCACCAAGGCGACGAUCCGUAGCUGGUCUGGGAGGAUGGUCAGCCACACUGGAACUGAGACACGGUCCAGACGCCUACGGGAGGCAGCAGUGGGGAAGAUGGGACAAUCGGCGCAAGCCUGAUCCCGUCAUACCGGGUGGGUGGAGAAGGGCUUCGGGUUGUAAAGCCCUUUUGUUGGGAAAGAGAAGCAGCAGGUUAAUACCCCGCUGUUCUGACGGGAGCCAAAGAGUAAGCACCGGCUAACUUCGUGC